CAGACCUAACAUUUCGGCUUACAGGGGCGAUGAUGUUGGUCUUAAAGGACAGAAAAAAUCAUUCGCUAACGAUUUUGAUCCACAGAAAGCGAAACAGAAGUACCAUUGGCUUAGACCCACAUCUUCCAAUAAUUUUGCAUGUAAAUAAUCUGAAGUGAUUAGUGCCAUCACGAUCCUACCAUGUCAAUCAAUGAUUGGCUGGAAGAAUAAAAAAAUAAUUUUUUUUAGAUGAU
rnacentral:lncRNA from 1 species